rnacentral:tRNA from 1 species
GGUUAAUUAGUUUAUAUAAAACAAGUGUUUUGAAAACACUAAAAAAGAAACAAAGUUCUUAUUAACCG